rnacentral:rRNA from 1 species
UGCCUCAGUAACGGCGAGUGAAGCGGCAAAAGCUCAAAUUUGAAAUCUAGCACCUUCGGUGUUCGAGUUGUAAUUUGAAGAUGGUAACCUUGGGUUUGGCUCUUGUCUAUGUUCCUUGGAACAGGACGUCAUAGAGGGUGAGAAUCCCGUCUGAUGAGAUGCCCAUUCCUAUGUAAGGUGCUAUCGAAGAGUCGAGUUGUUUGGGAAUGCAGCUCUAAGUGGGUGGUAAAUUCCAUCUAAAGCUAAAUAUUGGCGAGAGACCGAUAGCGAACAAGUACAGUGAUGGAAAGAUGAAAAGAACUUUGAAAAGAGAGUGAAAAAGUACGUGAAAUUGUUGAAAGGGAAGGGCAUUAGAUCAGACUUGGUGUUUUACGAUUAUCUUCUCUUCUUGAGUUGUGCACUCGUAUUUCACUGGGCCAGCAUCAGUUU